rnacentral:rRNA from 1 species
AGUGAACGCUAGCGGUGCGCCUAACACAUGCAAGUCGAGCGAAGCUUCGAGCUGAGCGGCGAACGGCUGAGUAACACGUUGGAACCUACCCCAGACUCAGGGAUAACCCACUGAAAAGUGGACUAAUACCGGAUGGUCUCGUAAGAGUAAAGCUUUUGCGGUCUGGGAGGGGCCUGCGGCCUAUCAGGUAGUUGGUGGGGUAAUAGCCUACCAAGCCUAUGACGGGUAGCUGAUCUGAGAGGAUGAUCAGCCAGAAUGGGACUGAGACACGGCCCAUACUCCUACGGGAGGCAGCAGUGAGGAAUCUUCCGCAAUGGGGGCAACCCUGACGGAGCGACACCGCGUGGUGGAUGACACCCUUUUCGGGCGUAAACACCUGUCCUGAGGGACGAAACUUUUGACGGUACCUCAGAAGAAAGCACCGGCUAAUUCCG